rnacentral:sRNA from 2 species
CAAAAGUUCUUACCCGCCAAGGCACUAUAUAAUGCCACCAACUUGAAUUUCCCCCAAAUCUGCUUCAUACAAAGUAGUAGAGAUGAUAUUUUCAUUUCUCAUUAAAUUACUAGUCAAGAUGACUUCUAAUACUGAUAUAUAUGCUCUGAGAUCUUAAUUCUAUAGAAUCUUGCUGACUCUGAAUGAAGCACAAAAUCAUACAAAAGAGUGUAUUGUGGUUCCCACACUAUGUUAAACCUGCGGCACGGCCCGGGGCUUAUUGGAUAAGAACCGAAGAAGUGUAGGAACGGAACAACCCUUGACCGAAGC